CGGCGGGUGGAUCUCCACUCCAGAUUUUCCAGCUGUCCCUGCCCCCCCACCGCGCGGAGCAGGAUGCCGAGAUGGCUGGUGAUGCAGAAGGAGGAUCACCGGCACACAGGGACCGAGGUGCCAGACCACGGGUUCUGGGACCACGGUGGUUCCCUCCUUCUCCUCUGAGAACACAAAAAGGCAGAUGGACCCACAUGCCUAUGAGGAAAUGUCUAGCUGUCCUCUAAGACACUGAACGCUGGAUCCCAGGAAGACGCCCAGCGAGGGGUGUGGCUGGAGGCGGAUGGGCUCCCCCCACCUGCGUGCAUUGGGGAGAAAGUGUGUGAUCCCCACACACGGAAUGGGAGCUGCCAGGGCCCGGUGCCCUCACCCUUGCCCCGCGGUCUCCCCUUGCCUUGCAGACACGCUUCUGUGAUGGACCCCCCUUCCUCCUUGGCCGUGGGGCUCUCCGGCAGCUGUCUGAGUAUCCAGAGGUCUCUUUGAGGAAGCUGUUUGAGUGGAGCAAAGGGCAGCAGCGUGGAGCUCACUGAGCGAGCUAUCGGCCGAGCCUCCCUGCGUCCGCCCAUGGCCAGCCCAUCCUGCUCCUUUUCCAAAGGAUAGAAGAGGGCUCUCUUCUGCGACGUUCGUGGUCCUGUGGGCACCUGCUCUGCGGAGCCAGAAUCUGUCCCGCCCACGCCUCCAGGAACUUGGCGCAAGGUCUGCACGUACCCUUCCCAAGGACCCU